rnacentral:rRNA from 1 species
CAGGAUGAACGCUAGCUACAGGCUUAACACAUGCAAGUCGAGGGGCAUCAGGAAGAAAGCUUGCUUUCUUUGCUGGCGACCGGCGCACGGGUGAGUAACACGUAUCCAACCUGCCCUUUACUCGGGGAUAGCCUUUCGAAAGAAAGAUUAAUACCCGAUAGCAUAAUGAUUCCGCAUGGUUUCAUUAUUAAAGGAUUCCGGUAAAGGAUGGGGAUGCGUUCCAUUAGGUUGUUGGUGAGGUAACGGCCCACCAAGCCUUCGAUGGAUAGGGGUUCUGAGAGGAAGGUCCCCCACAUUGGAACUGAGACACGGUCCAAACUCCUACGGGAGGCAGCAGUGAGGAAUAUUGGUCAAUGGGCGCUAGCCUGAACCAGCCAAGUAGCGUGAAGGAUGAAGGCUCUAUGGGUCGUAAACUUCUUUUAUAUAAGAAUAAAGUGCAGUAUGUAUACUGUUUUGUAUGUAUUAUAUGAAUAAGGAUCGGCUAACUCCGUGCCAGCAGCCGCGGUAAUACGGAGGAUCCGAGCGUUACCCGGAUUUAUUGGGUUUAAAGGGAGCGUAGGUGGACUGGUAAGUCAGUUGUGAAAGUUUGCGGCUCAACCGUAAAAUUGCAGUUGAUACUGUCAGUCUUGAGUACAGUAGAGGUGGGCGGAAUUCGUGGUGUAGCGGUGAAAUGCUUAGAUAUCACGAAGAACUCCGAUUGCGAAGGCAGCUCACUGGACUGCAACUGACACUGAUGCUCGAAAGUGUGGGUAUCAAACAGGAUUAGAUACCCUGGUAGUCCACACAGUAAACGAUGAAUACUCGCUGUUUGCGAUAUACAGUAAGCGGCCAAGCGAAAGCAUUAAGUAUUCCACCUGGGGAGUACGCCGGCAACGGUGAAACUCAAAGGAAUUGACGGGGGCCCGCACAAGCGGAGGAACAUGUGGUUUAAUUCGAUGAUACGCGAGGAACCUUACCCGGGCUUAAAUUGCAGUGGAAUGAUGUGGAAACAUGUCAGUGAGCAAUCACCGCUGUGAAGGUGCUGCAUGGUUGUCGUCAGCUCGUGCCGUGAGGUGUCGGCUUAAGUGCCAUAACGAGCGCAACCCUUAUCUUUAGUUACUAACAGGUUAUGCUGAGGACUCUAGAGAGACUGCCGUCGUAAGAUGUGAGGAAGGUGGGGAUGACGUCAAAUCAGCACGGCCCUUACGUCCGGGGCUACACACGUGUUACAAUGGGGGGUACAGAAGGCAGCUAGCGGGUGACCGUAUGCUAAUCCCAAAAUCCUCUCUCAGUUCGGAUCGAAGUCUGCAACCCGACUUCGUGAAGCUGGAUUCGCUAGUAAUCGCGCAUCAGCCACGGCGCGGUGAAUACGUUCCCGGGCCUUGUACACACCGCCCGUCAAGCCAUGGGAGCCGGGGGUACCUGAAGUACGUAACCGCAAGGAUCGUCCUAGGGUAAAA